UAGGUAUUUUCAGAUCUGAACAUUCUCCCUCCUUCUCCACAAAACCACCUCCUCUCAUUUCUACUCCAUGGAUUCCGCCGAUUAUCUUUCCUUCCUGCAUCUUGUCUUCUUUUCCUUCUAUUGUUUUGUUCAUUGUCGAAAUUAGGCCUAUCUUCAAGAGAGACCCACAAGUAAAGUGUGCAAGAUGCCAUUAAGUGUUUUGCUGUUUUGAUUUGAGGAGAUUUGAAGAUUUUUGAUUCCCGGGGUUUGAUUGAGCAAAGUGCAAGCUGUUUUCUUCAUGCAAUGGCACUCGCUCCUUAGGAGAAGGAACACAUUGUUGACAUGGCGGCCUCUUCUGGUGGUAAAACUGCUUACAUUGUAACUCUCCUGAAGAAAACUGGUAUAUACGAUUAUCUGGCAAACAAGGUGUUAGAAUUGGCGAGAAACACUGCUAAAUAACAAGUACAUAAUCAUUCCCUGGCAUGCUUUGUUGCCAAUUAGGAACAAUGAAGAGCUUGCAAAAUUACUAGCUGGGGUUACGGUUCUGCAUCGUGAUGUUCUUCCGAAUAUUAACCCAGUUAUGUUGUCGAAGAAGACCGUUGCAAAGCAGCCUAAAUCUCCAUCGAAGGCUACCAUGUAGCCAAAAAAGAUGACUAAAGUAGAUCACUAGAUUGCUACAUUUGUGUUAUUUUUGUGUUAGUUUCUUUGAUCAUGUUAUUGUUAUUAUGAUAAAUCUAUCAGAUAGUUGGGUUUAUGGUA